GACGAACGCUGGCGGCAGGCUUAACACAUGCAAGUCGAACGCAUCCUUCGGGGUGAGUGGCAGACGGGUGAGUAACGCGUGGGAACGUGCCCUUCAGUUCGGGAUAACCCAGGGAAACUUGGGCUAAUACCGGAUACGUGCGAGAGCAGAAAGAUUUAUCGCUGAAGGAUCGGCCCGCGUCUGAUUAGCUAGUUGGUGGGGUAAUGGCCCACCAAGGCGACGAUCAGUAGCUGGUCUGAGAGGAUGAUCAGCCACAUUGGGACUGAGACACGGCCCAAACUCCUACGGGAGGCAGCAGGGGGGAAUAUUGGACAAUGGGCGCAAGCCUGAUCCAGCCAUGCCGCGUGAGUGAUGAAGGCCUUAGGGUUGUAAAGCUCUUUCGUCCGGGACGAUAAUGACGGUACCGGAAGAGGAAGCCCCGGCUAACUUCGUGCCAGCCGCCGCCGUAA
rnacentral:rRNA from 1 species